CUAAUCAUGCAAGUCGAGCGCGGGAAGCAGAAAGAUUCCUUCGGGAUGACAUCUGUGGAACGAGCGGCGGAUGGGUGAGUAACACGUGGGUAACCUGCCUGUAAGCCUGGGAUAACUCGCGGAAACGCGAGCUAAUACCGGAUGACACGAAAGUUCGCAUGAACUUUUGUUGAAAGGCGGCUUUUAGCUGUCACUUACAGAUGGGCCCGCGGCGCAUUAGCUAGUUGGUGAGGUAACGGCUUACCAAGGCGACGAUGCGUAGCCGACCUGAGAGAGUGAUCGGCCACACUGGGACUGAGACACGGCCCAGACUCCUACGGGAGGCAGCAGUAGGGAAUCUUCCGCAAUGGACGAAAGUCUGACGGAGCGACGCCGCGUGAGCGAUGAAGGUCUUCGGAUCGUAAAGCUCUGUUGUUAGGGAAGAACAAGUACCGGAGUAACUGCCGGUACCUUGACGGUACCUAACCAGAAAGCCCCGGCUAACUACGUGCCAGCAGCCGCGGUAAUACGUAGGGGGCAAGCGUUGUCCGGAAUUAUUGGGCGUAAAGGGCGCGCAGGCGGUCUUCUAAGUCUGAUGUGAAAGCCCACGGCUUAACCGUGGAAGGUCAUUGGAAACUGGGGGACUUGAGUGCAGAAGAGGAGAGUGGAAUUCCAUGUGUAGCGGUGAAAUGCGUAGAGAUAUGGAGGAACACCAGUGGCGAAGGCGA
rnacentral:rRNA from 1 species